rnacentral:rRNA from 1 species
CCCUUAGAUGUCCUGGGCUGCACGCGCGCUACACUGAUGCACUCAACGAGUUUACGACCUUGCCCGAUAGGGUUGGGUAAUCUUUUUAAAAUGCAUCGUGAUGGGGAUAGAUUAUUGCAAUUAUUAAUCUUCAACGAGGAAUUCCUAGUAAGCGCGAGUCAUCAGCUCGUGCUGAUUACGUCCCUGCCCUUUGUACACACCGCCCGUCGCUCCUACCGAUUGAGUGCUCAGGUGAAUAAUUCGGACUGCAGCAAUGUUUGGACCCCGAACGUUGCAGCGGAAAGUUUAGUGAACCUUAUCACUUAGAGGAAGGAGAAGUCGUAACA